rnacentral:rRNA from 1 species
GAUGAACGCUGGCGGCGUGCCUAAUACAUGCAAGUCGAACGCUGAAGGAAGGAGCUUGCUCUUUCCGGUUGAGUUGCGAACGGGUGAGUAACGCGUAGGUAACCUGCCUGGUAGCGGGGGAUAACUAUUGGAAACGAUAGCUAAUACCGCAUAACAGUAGAUGUUGCAUGAUAUCUACUUAAAAGGUGCAAUUGCACCACUACCAGAUGGACCUGCGUUGUAUUAGCUAGUUGGUGAGGUAACGGCUCACCAAGGCGACGAUACAUAGCCGACCUGAGAGGGUGAUCGGCCACACUGGGACGGAGACAAGGCCCAGAAGUCUAAGGGGAGGAGCAGGAGGGAAACUUCGGAAAUGGACGGAAGUCUGACCGAGCAACGCCGCGGGAGGGAAGAAGGGUGUCGGAUCGGAAAGCUAGGUUGUAAGAGAAGAAAGAGGGUGAGAGUGGAAAGUUCACACUGUGACGGUACCUGACCAGAAAGGGACGGCUAACUACGUG